GCGACCCCAGGUCAAG
rnacentral:rRNA from 1 species